CUUCCAGUCGGCGAGGUACAUGUACCUCGCCGAGUGGAGGUUUCCUUCCAGUCGGCGAGGUACAUGUACCUCGUCGACUGGAAG
rnacentral:miRNA from 1 species